rnacentral:rRNA from 1 species
ACAGCUCAGUAACACGUGGACAACCUGCCCUCGGGAGGGGGAUAACCCCGGGAAACUGGGGCUAAACCCCCAUAGGUGAUGGAUACUGGAAUGUUCCAUCACCGAAAGUCCGCAAGGAGCCCGAGGAUGGGUCUGCGGCGGAUUAGGUAGUUGGUGGGGUAACGGCCCACCAAGCCUAAGAUCCGUACGGGCCAUGGGAGUGGGAGCCCGGAGAUGGACCCUGAGACAAGGGUCCAGGCCCUACGGGGCGCAGCAGGCGCGAAACCUCCGCAAUGCGGGAAACCGCGACGGGGUCAGCCGGAGUGCCGAUGCUUGCAUCGGCUGUCGGGGAGCCUAAAAAGCUCCCCAUAGCAAGGGCCGGGCAAGGCCGGUGGCAGCCGCCGCGGUAAUACCGGCGGCCCGAGUGGCGGCCACUAUUAUUGGGCUUAAAGCGUCCGUAGCCGGGUUGGUUAGUCUCCCGGGAAAUCUGGCCGCUUAACGGUCAGAAUUCCGGGAGAUACUGCCAGCCUAGGGACCGGGAGAGGCCGAGGGUAUUCCCGGAGUAGGGGUGAAAUCCUAUAAUCCCGGGAGGACCACCUGUGGCGAAGGCGCUCGGCUGGAAUGGGUCCGACGGUGAGGGACGAAGGCCAGGGGAGCAAACCGGAUUAGAUACCCGGGUAGUCCUGGCUGUAAACGAUGCGGACUUUGUGUCGGACAAGCUAUGAGCUUGUCCGGUGCCGGAGGGAAACCGUUAAGUCCGCCGCCUGGGGAGUACGGCCGCAAGGCUGAAACUUAAAGGAAUUGGCGGGGGAGCAC